GAUGAAGAACGCAGCAAAAUGCGAUAAGUAAUGUGAAUUGCAGAAUUCAGUGAAUCAUCGAAUCUUUGAACGCACAUUGCGCCCGCCAGUAUUCUGGCGGGCAUGCCUGUUCGAGCGUCAUUUCAACCCUCAAGCACAGCUUGGUGUUGGGACUCGCGUUAAUUCGCGUUCCCCAAAUUGAUUGGCGGUCACGUCGAGCUUCCAUAGCGUAGUAGUAAAACCCUCGUUACUGGUAAUCGUCGCGGCCACGCCGUUAAACCCCAACUUCUGAACGUUGACCUCGGAUCAGGUAGGAAUACCCGCUGAACUUAAGCAUAUCAAUAAGCGGAGGA
rnacentral:misc_RNA from 1 species